rnacentral:misc_RNA from 1 species
GGUGAAGUUGCGCGGAGGGAAGCCAAUCAAAAGAGCCAAAAAACGCCACCGGGGGGAAAAAACGACGUUUCGUGUUGCCACCCAGUACAUGGCGGUGGAUGAAAUCGAAAAUAAUGCUUUGUGAGCUUCAAUCUUGUUGUUAUUUGGAAGUUUUAUAGCGCUUUGGUUAAUGAGGAAGUUGUAACUCCUCGUUGCCGGAACUGAAAAC